GAUGAACGCUGGCGGCGUGCCUAAUACAUGCAAGUCGAACGAAUCUUCUUCGGAAGAUGAGUGGCGAACGGGUGAGUAAUACAUAGGUAACCUGCCCCUGUGCGGGGGAUAACAGGAGGAAACUCCUGCUAAUACCGCAUAGCCAUGAGCACCGCAUGGAGCUCAUGCCAAAUAUCCUUUACGGGAUAGCGCAGGGAUGGACCUAUGGCGCAUUAGCUAGUUGGCGGGGCAACGGCCCACCAAGGCAACGAUGCGUAGCCGGCCUGAGAGGGCGGACGGCCACAUUGGGACUGAGACACGGCCCAGACUCCUACGGGAGGCAGCAGUAGGGAAUUUUCGGCAAUGGGGGAAACCCUGACCGAGCAACGCCGCGUGAGCGAAGAAGGCCUUCGGGUCGUAAAGCUCUGUUGUAAAGGAAGAACGUCGGACACAGGAAAUGGUGUGCGAGUGACGGUACUUUACCAGAAAGCCACGGCUAACUACGUGCCAGCAGCCGCGGUAAUACGUAGGUGGCGAGCGUUAUCCGGAAUCAUUGGGUGUAAAGAGGGAGCAGGCGGCCGCAAGGGUCUGUGGUGAAAGACCGAAGCUAAACUUCGGUGAGCCAUGGAAACCGGGCGGCUAGAGUGCGGAAGAGGAUCGUGGAAUUCCAUGUGUAGCGGUGAAAUGCGUAGAUAUAUGGAGGAACACCAGUGGCGAAGGCGACGGUCUGGGCCGCAACUGACGCUCAUUCCCGAAAGCGUGGGGAGCAAAUGGGAUUAGAUACCCUAGUAGUCCACGCCGU
rnacentral:rRNA from 1 species